rnacentral:rRNA from 1 species
UACGAAGGGGGCUAGCGUUGCUCGGAAUCACUGGGCGUAAAGGGUGCGUAGGCGGGUCUUUAAGUCAGGGGUGAAAUCCUGGAGCUCAACUCCAGAACUGCCUUUGAUACUGAAGAUCUUGAGUUCGGGAGAGGUGAGUGGAACUGCGAGUGUAGAGGUGAAAUUCGUAGAUAUUGGGAAGAACACCCGUGGCGAAGGCGGCACUCUGGGACGGUACUGACGCUGAGACGCGAAAGCGUGGGGAGCGAACAGG